UUGCAUCUUAAGCUAAUAAGGAUGAGAAUCUCCGGGGAAGGAGGUUCGACCCGAACGAAGCGAGAGAACGUAGCUUUAGCAACGGCUCGCAGGGAGAGCCACGCAGUAGUGAGUCAUCCUCUCUUCGACCA
rnacentral:sRNA from 1 species